CGAGCUCCCCGAGUGAGCAAUUCGUGUCCCUUUUAAGGGCUCACAGCUCUAAGGGGGUCCAUGUGAGAGGGUCGUGUUCAACUGAGCAAGCAGCGGGUGUUAUGUGACACGGGAGCUUUCAGAAAAUGAAGACCCAAAGGAACAAGAGAUCUGUGGAUUUUCAUGGACAGUCAUCUGUGGAUUUUCAAGGACAGUCAUGCAGAAGCAUACUUGGAGAAUGGGGAUUAUCUUGAGGACCCAGGCUUAUGGAGCAGCCACCAGAGGACCCCUGCUAGUCAUCAUGCCAGAAGAAAAAGGAACUCUGAGAAGUCUCUCAUCACUGGUAAGAUUUGGUGAAUAGCACUGUAACUACUAGCUUCCAAGCAGCCAUCGCAU